GACAAGGUGACCGAAUGGUUAAGGCGAUGGACUGAUAAUCCAUUGGGCUAUGCCAGCAUGGGUUCGAAUCUCCUCCUCGUCG